GGUCUGAGAGGAUGACCAGCCACACUGGAACUGAGACACGGUCCAGACUCCUACGGGAGGCAGCAGUGGGGAAUAUUGCACAAUGGGCGCAAGCCUGAUGCAGCGACGCCGCGUGAGGGAUGGAGGCCUUCGGGUUGUAAACCUCUUUUAUCGGGGAGCAAGCGAGAGUGAGUUUACCCGUUGAAUAAGCACCGGCUAACUACGUGCCAGCAGCCGCGGUAAUACGUAGGGUGCAAGCGUUAUCCGGAAUUAUUGGGCGUAAAGGGCUCGUAGGCGGUUCGUCGCGUCCGGUGUGAAAGUCCAUCGCUUAACGGUGGAUCCGCGCCGGGUACGGGCGGGCUUGAGUGCGGUAGGGGAGACUGGAAUUCCCGGUGUAACGGUGGAAUGUGUAGAUAUCGGGAAGAACACCAAUGGCGAAGGCAGGUCUCUGGGCCGUUACUGACGCUGAGGAGCGAAAGCGUGGGGAGCGAACAGGAUUAGAUACCCUGGUAGUCCACGCCGUAAACGGUGGAUGCUGGAUGUGGGGCCCGUUCCACGGGUUCCGUGUCGGAGCUAACGCGUUAAGCAUCCCGCCUGGGGAGUACGGCCGCAAGGCUAAAACUCAAAGAAAUUGACGGGGGCCCGCACAAGCGGCGGAGCAUGCGGAUUAAUUCGAUGCAACGCGAAGAACCUUACCUGGGCUUGACAUGUUCCCGACAGCCGUAGAGAUAUGGCCUCCCUUCGGGGCGGGUUCACAGGUGGUGCAUGGUCGUCGUCAGCUCGUGUCGUGAGAUGUUGGGUUAAGUCCCGCAACGAGCGCAACCCUCGCCCCGUGUUGCCAGCGGAUUAUGCCGGGAACUCACGGGGGACCGCCGGGGUUAACUCGGAGGAAGGUGGGGAUGACGUCAGAUCAUCAUGCCCCUUACGUCCAGGGCUUCACGCAUGCUACAAUGGCCGGUACAACGGGAUGCGACGCGGCGACGCGGAGCGGAUCCCUGAAAACCGGUCUCAGUUCGGAUCGCAGUCUGCAACUCGACUGCGUGAAGGCGGAGUCGCUAGUAAUCGCGAAUCAGCAACGUCGCGGUGAAUGCGUUCCCGGGCCUUGUACACACCGCCCGUCAAGUCAUGAAAGUGGGCAGCACCCGAAGCCGGUGGCCUAACCCCUUGUGGGAUGGAGCCGUCUAAGGUGAGGCUCGUGAUUGGGACUAAGUCGUAACAAGGUAGCCGUACCGGAAGGUGCGGCUG
rnacentral:rRNA from 1 species